rnacentral:rRNA from 1 species
AGUGAACGCUGGCGGCGUGCCUAAUACAUGCAAGUCGAACGGAGUGGCGCACGGGUGAGUAAUGUAUAGCUAAUCUGCCCUCCACUAGAGGACAACAGUUGGAAACGACUGCUAAUACUCUAUAGUGUAGGAUGAGGCUAUAUUGUAUCAGCUAGUUGGUGAGGUAAUGGCUCACCAAGGCUAUGACGCAUAACUGGUCUGAGAGGAUGAUCAGUCACCCCGGACGGGAGGCACGAUUCAGACUCCUACGGGAAGCAGCAGUAGGGAAAAGUGCUCAAUGGGGGAAAGCCUGAAGCGGCAUCGCGUCGUGAAGGAUGACACUUUUCGGAGCGGAAACUCCUUUUGAUAGGGAAGCGGUACCUAACGAAUAAGCACCGGCUAACUCCGUGCCAGCAGCCGCGGUAAUUC